rnacentral:rRNA from 1 species
CCUACGGGUGGCAGCAGUGAGGAAUAUUGGUCAAUGGCCGCGAGCCUGAACCAGCCAAGUAGCGUGAAGGAUGACUGCCCUACGGGUUGUAAACUUCUUUUAUAAAGGAAUAAAGUGAGGCACGUGUGCCUUUUUGUAUGUAUUUUAUGAAUAAGGAUCGGCUAACUCCGUGCCAGCAGCCGCGGUAAUACGGAGGAUCCGAGCGUUAUCCGGAUUUAUUGGGUUUAAAGGGAGCGUAGGUGGGUUGUUAAGUCAGUGGUGAAAGUUUGGGGCUCAACCGUAAAAUUGCAAUUGAAAUGGGCAGCCUGGAGACCAGUAGAGGUAGGCGGAAUUCGUGGGGUAGCGGUGAAAUGCUUAGAU